CUGACUCAAUGCUGGUUGCUUUGCUCAUAUUCUUUCAGAUUAUGAGAGUUGGACUUGGCUGAUUCGAACUUAUGCAAAGGGGUUACAUUUCUGUCAAGGUUAUGCAAACUCACCACCAUAAUCACUGAAGCAGCAAACAUUGGGAUUGGACCAAAAAUCCACAGCAGCAAAGUAGUGGCAAAGUAAAUUGCUCGUAAACCGACUGACCAACAAGCACUUCCUCUUAUCACUGCCUUCUGGAUACAACCUACUGGAAUAUCUGCAUUGGGCAUGCUGAUGAGGAAACUAGCAUGGGCAAAGUUCCCAACACAUUGAAGAAAAGAACCGAAAGCCACCAGAAAGCAGAAAAGAAGGCUGAUAUAUUUGACAGAAAUGAUUGAUGAGCUUGUAUUGCCAUAAAUCAGACUAUUUCUGAAGAGACUACUAGAAGAUUCUGCAAGCCAUGUUCCAAUAAGGGAACUCAAAGUUAGAGAUAUUGUUGCCAGGAAAGUUGCUGCUGAUAUCGUGGAGUUGAUUGCUGUUAAUGGCAAACCUCUAUCCUUUGCCUCAACCUGCAAAAAUGUUCAUCAUCAUAACUACAGGUGAACAAUCUAAGCUGGGUUUUGUUUAUAUUUUGGCCUUCUUGGGGAUGAACAUAGGAGCUCACCUGCAACAUUCUCUCUACCCAAGCUUUCUUGCAGUGGUUCUCAUAGCCACUGACAGUGGUUUGAGGGAGUUUGAGGCAUCUGUAUAGAAGAAAGACAUGGUAAGCUGACAUAAUCAGUAACCCACUUGGGACCAAAACUAAAUCCAAGUAUUCCUUCGUCCAUGCCAUUCCUUUGUCUCUCAAAACAACUGUAGAGGAGAUGUAGCCAGUGUUCGGUAUUAAUAAAAGCCUCUGCUAACAUGGCCAGUGGUCACUUGUGAUUAAUUUCAUUUCAUAGUGGAUUAGUUUAACUAAUGAUGUUGUAUUGCUCUGGCACAUUGUCUUAUUUGGAUUAAAAUAUAGACAAUCACCAUA